AUGGAGAUCGCCAUGGGUGCUAUCGGCCCUCUCCUCCCCAAGCUCGGUGCUCUCCUCGUCGGUGAUUUCACCCUGGAGAAACGCAUGAGAAAAGGCAUUGAAUCUCUUGUGACAGAGCUCACGCUGAUGCACGCUGCCCUCCGCAAGGUGGAGAAAGUGCCACCAGAACAACUCUACGAGGGAGUCAAGAUUUGGGCAGGAAAGGUGAAGGAGUUGUCCUACCACAUGGAGGACAUAGUUGACGCCUUCAGGGUGCGUGUGGAGGAUGGUAGCGGUCCUGCCAACCCAGAGAAUAGAGUGAAGAAGAUACUCAAGAAGGUCAAAGGAUUAUUCAAGAUUAGAAACGAUCUCCACUGGAUCUCUGAUGCUCUCAAAGAAGCUGUUCAUCAAGCUAAGCAGUUAGCCGAGCUACAUCAAAGGUACGAGCAAGAUAUGCAAGAUACAAGCGCUGGUGCUAGUGUUGACCCUCGCAUGAUGGCCCUGUACACAGAUGUGAUAGAGUUUGUCGGCAUUGAAGAAACACGAGAUGAGUUGAUCAACAUGUUGACAAAAGGUGAUGAUUGGUCAAAUCAUCCAUUGAAGAUUGUCUCUAUUGUUGGAUUUGGUGGAUCAGGCAAGACAACUCUUGCCAAAGCAGCAUAUGACAAGAUCAAAGGGCAAUUCAAUUGUUGUGCUUUUAUUUCGGUUUCUCAUAAUCCGGACGUGAAGAAAAUUUUCAAAAAUAUUCUUUAUGAACUUGACAAGAAGAAGUAUGCACACAUUCGUAAUGAAGAAUGGGAAGAAAAGCAUCUGAUCGACGAACUCAUUGAAUUCCUUAAUGGCAAGAGGUACCUCAUCAUAAUUGAUGACAUAUGGGACAAAGAAGUGUGGAAAUUAAUCAAGUGUACUGCUUUCUCCAAGAAGAGUCCCGGAAGCCAACUAAUCACGACAACCCGCAUCGUUAGUGUCUCUGAAGCGUGCUGCUCUUCUAGGGAUGACAUUUACAAAAUGAAACCUCUUUCUGACGAUGUAUCAAGAACUCUCUUCUAUAGAAGAGUAUUUUCUCAUGAGAAAGGGUGUCCUCAAGAAUUGGUGCAAGUAUCCAAAGACAUUUUGAAGAAAUGUGGUGGCAUACCAUUGGCUAUUAUUUCUAUAGCAAGUCUUUUGGCUAAUAAUCAUCAGGGAAAAACAAAGGAUCAAUGGUAUGCAUUGCUUAAUUCCAUUGGUCGCGGACUCACAGAAGAUCGAAGUUUAGAGGAGAUGAAAAAGAUAUUAUUAUUCAGCUAUUAUGAUCUACCUUCAUACCUAAAACCUUGUUUAUUAUAUCUUAGCGUAUUUCCAGAAGAUCACAAGAUUAUGAUAGGCAAGCUAAUAUGGAGAUGGAUAUCAGAAGGUUUUGUUUAUAGUGCAAAACCAGAAACUAGCUUAUAUGAGCUUGGUAAUAGCUACUUCAGUGAGCUAGUUAAUAGAAGUAUGAUCCAGCUAAUAGGCACUAAUGGUGAAGAGGAAGAAAACUUAGAAGCUUGUCGUGUACAUGACAUGGUACUUGAUCUCAUAUGCACAUUGUCAGUUGAAGAAAACUUCAUCACAAUAUUGGAUGACACUGGUAGAAAAAUGCCUAACUUGAAAAGCAAGGUCCGUAGAUUGUCCAUCCACGAUAGCAAGAUCGAUGUGGACACCACUAGGAUGGCACACAUGAGAUCUUUUACCAUUUUUACAAAUAAUGUUGUUGGGAAAGUGUUGGAUAUUUCAAGUUUUCAAGUUCUUCGCGUGUUGGAUUUAGAAGGUUGCGAUGUUUCAGAUGUUGGGUAUGUGGCGACUCUAUUGCAUUUGAGGUACUUAGGGCUAAAAGAUACUCAUGUUGAGGACCUUCCCAUGGAAAUAUGGAAGCUGCAGUUUUUGCUUACCUUGGACUUAAGAGGUACUAAGAUAAAAGUACUAUCGUCGAGUGUUUUUCAGCUAAGACGUCUGAUGUGCCUUUAUGUUGACUAUAAUAUGAAGCUGUCGUCUGGUAUGGGUAACCUGACUUGUCUGGAAGUGCUAGGUCAACUAGGGGUGUCUAGCCUGGACCUCCAUGUUGUGAAAGAAUUGGGUCAUCUAACCAAACUCAGGGUGCUCCGGGUUUUAAGUAAUUGUUUGGAUGAGGCCUCGGACAAAGCUUUGGAGGAAUCACUUGGUAAUUUACACAAAUUGGAAAGUCUAGAGAUAGAGAUAUUUACCGAAGAUGAAUUAAUAAAUUUGAUGAGCAAAGAUUGGGUGCCCCCUUUACAACUCCGUAAGUUGGAUUUCCGGUCAGUCUAUAGUCUUUUUUUUUUGAAAGAUCCAGCAUUCGCUGGCAUUCAUUGA
rnacentral:rRNA from 1 species